rfam:Schistocephalus solidus strain NST_G2 genome assembly, scaffold: SSLN_scaffold0001236
GGCCUCGUAGCUCAGUUGGCUAGAGCGUUGGUUUUACUAAAGCCUUCCUCUUACUGGCGUGGCUUCGAAUCACACCGAGGCCA